CAGAUGAAAUGGGCAGGUCUCUCUCUCAAUCAAGAUGUCGAAGUCAGCAAUUACAGCUUUGACACAUCGGAGCAAUACAUUGGCACUAUGAUUCUGGAAAUUGACUUCCUGCAGAAGGAAAACUCAGACAGCGACUCGUACGACUCAGACAUGAUGGCUAUCGAGUUCAUCCAGAAUUUUAACUCGCAGGCGUUUUGCUCUGGCCAGCAGUUCGUGUUUAGCUUCUGUGACAAGCUCUUUUUGCUGGUAGUCCAAAGCAUGGAGGCGAUGGACCCCAGCCUACUGAGUGGUGUGGGGAGCUCCAG